rnacentral:rRNA from 1 species
GACGAACGCUGGCGGCGUGCUUAACACAUGCAAGUCGAACGGAAAGGCCCUGCUUUUGUGGGGUGCUCGAGUGGCGAACGGGUGAGUAACACGUGAGUAACCUGCCCUUGACUUUGGGAUAACUUCAGGAAACUGGGGCUAAUACCGGAUAGGAGCUCCUGCUGCAUGGUGGGGGUUGGAAAGUUUCGGCGGUUGGGGAUGGACUCGCGGCUUAUCAGCUUGUUGGGGGGGUAGUGGCUUACCAAGGCUUUGACGGGUAGCCGGCCUGAGAGGGUGACCGGCCACAAUGGGACUGCGGUACGGCCCAGACUCCUACGGGAGGCAGCAGGGGGGAAUAUUGCACAACGGGGCGAAGCCUGAUGCAGCAACGCCGCGUGCGGGAUGACGGCCUUCGGGUUGUAAACCGCUUUCGCCUGUGACGAAGCGUGAGUGACGGUAAUGGGUAAAGAAGCACCGGCUAACUACGUG